rnacentral:rRNA from 1 species
UCCAGACUCCUACGGGAGGCAGCAGUGGGGAAUAUUGCACAAUGGGGGAAACCCUGAUGCAGCGACGCCGCGUGAGCGAUGAAGUAUUUCGGUAUGUAAAGCUCUAUCAGCAGGGAAGAAAAUGACGGUACCUGACUAAGAAGCCCCGGCUAACUACGUGCCAGCAGCCGCGGUAAUACGUAGGGGGCGAGCGUUAUCCGGAUUUACUGGGUGUAAAGGGAGCGUAGACGGCGUCGCAAGUCUGAAGUGAAAGCCCGUGGCUCAACCGCGGAACCGCUUUGGAAACUGCGAGGCUGGAGUGCUGGAGAGGUAAGCGGAAUUCCUGGUGUAGCGGUGAAAUGCGUAGAUAUCAGGAGGAACACCGGCGGCGAAGGCGGCCUGCUGGACCGCGACUGACGUUGAGGCUCGAAAGCGUGGGGAGCGAACAGGAUUAGAUACCCCUGUAC